rnacentral:rRNA from 1 species
GACGAACGCUGGCGGCGUGCUUAACACAUGCAAGUCGAACGGAAAGGCCCUGCUUUUGUGGGGUGCUCGAGUGGCGAACGGGUGAGUAACACGUGAGUAACCUGCCCUUGACUUUGGGAUAACUUCAGGAAACUGGGGCUAAUACCGGAUAGGAGCUCCUGCUGCAUGGUGGGGGUUGGAAAGUUUCGGCGGUUGGGGAUGGACUCGCGGCUUAUCAGCUUGUUGGUGGGGUAGUGGCUUACCAAGGCAUUGACGGGUAGCCGGCCUGAGAGGGGGACCGGCCACAUUAGGACUGGGAUACGGCCCAGACUCCUACGGGAGGCAGCAGUGGGGAAUAGUGCACAAUAGGCGGAAGCCUGAUGCAGCAACGCCGCGUGCGGGAUGACGGCCUUCGGGUUGUAAACCGCUUUCGCCUGUGACGAAGCGUGAGUGACGGUAAUGGGUAAAGAAGCACCGGCUAACUACGUG